UACGGAGGGAGCUAGCGUUGUUCGGAAUUACUGGGCGUAAAGCGCGCGUAGGCGGCUUUGUAAGUUAGAGGUGAAAGCCCGGGGCUCAACCCCGGAAUUGCCUUUAAGACUGCAUCGCUAGAAUCCAGGAGAGGUGAGUGGAAUUCCGAGUGUAGAGGUGAAAUUCGUAGAUAUUCGGAAGAACACCAGUGGCGAAGGCGGCUCACUGGAUUGGUAUUGACGCUGAGGUGCGAAAGCGUGGGGAGCAAACAGG
rnacentral:rRNA from 1 species